GUCUGCCUGCUACUAACAGGAAGAUAAUUAAUGUCCCCUUGUUCACAGAACAUCCAGUGAAAGGCAUGAGGCCCUGUACUUGGAUCCUCAAAACCUACAUAAAGUUGCAUACAAGACUGCACAUCUGUAAUCCCGGCAUUCCUACAGUGGGGGGGAAGCUGGAGUGCCAGCGUCCCUGGAAGCUCACAGGCAGCUAAGCUGUUCUAUGCUAUGGUGUGUGUGUGUGUGUGUGUGUGUGUGUGUGUGUGUGUGUAUGUGUUUGCUCAUAAUUCUAUGUCCAGCAGUGUUCAACAAAUCUCCAUUCAUUUAAGGCUGAGUUUUUAAGCAAUCCUGUGAAGAUUCAUGAAAACACUGCUAGGGGAACAGACUUCCAUGAUGAUGCACAGAAAACAAACAGGAUGGGGAGAAGAGUUGGUAAUAAAAGGGAAACAGCAGAAACUCAAGCAGGCGAGCAGAUAAACAGGCUUCUGAGUGACUGUGGCAAACAGACGAUUAAGACAAAGUGGUUUUUCAUUUCUUCAGUGUACAAAUACCAGUCAAGAGCCAGGAGGCGCAUGAGGAGGAGGAAGACAUCUUCCUGGGUUUUCCGAGUGUAAAACACAGAAGGAAAUUAGCAUCAUCCACGGUAGAGUCUUACAAGUGGACAAGAGAUGAGGUGGUCAAACCAGCUUCUAUAGUAGACGGGGUUAAUAAGAACAACUUCUUAAAAUGUAGCAGGAAAUGCAUUCCAAGCACAGAAGAAGAAGCAGGAAGACUGUCAGAGCCAGAUGCAAUGCGUGGCUGCUACAAAGCAAUGUUUCCUGGGCAAUGCAUGCAUGAACUCACAACAGCUGUCACAACAUGAGCGAGGCCCGCACAGCACCAAGCUAGCCAAAAUUAGUAAGAGCUGAGGAGGAGAAGCACCGAGGAGGAGAAGCCCAUCAAGUCCUGCCUCUACCUAAAGAGCUAUUGGCAACUGUCAGUGACUGGGCAAGGAAUUGAUGUGCACUGAAAAUCUACAUAUUUUGGAAAGAUAAUUUAUUUGAUCCAGGAAGGAAAGAAAAAUCAAGGGAAGAGAGAUUUCACGAGUUUACACUUCAUUAUUCUUAGGCCUUAGGAAGAACUCUCAUAUAACAAAAAUGUGGUCUAGAGCUAUAUCAUACAGGCUCAUAAAAGUACAUUGCUCAUCAUU
rnacentral:lncRNA from 1 species